rnacentral:rRNA from 1 species
CCUACGGGUGGCAGCAGUAGGGAAUAUUGCUCAAUGGGGGAAACCCUGAAGCAGCAACGCCGCGUGGAGGAUGAAGGUUCUCUGAUUUUAAACUCCUUUUUUUAGAGAAGAUAAUGACGGUAUCUAACGAAUAAGCACCGGCUAGCUCCGUGCCAGCAGCCGCGGUAAUACGCAGGGUGCAAGCGUUACUCGGAAUCACUGGGCGUAAAGCGUGAGUAGGCGGGAUAGCAAGUCAGAUGUGAAAUCCUAGGGCUUAACCAUAGAACUGCAGUUGAAACUGUUAGUCUAGAGUAUGGGAGAGGUAGGAGGAAUUCUUGGUGUAGGGGUAAAAGCAGUAGAGAUCAAGAGGAAUACUGAUUGCGAAGGCGACCUGCUAGAACAUAACUGACGCUGAUGCGCGAAAGCGUGGGGAGCAAACAGGAUUAGAUACCCUUGUAGUC